UACGGAGGGUGCAAGCGUUAUCCGGAUUCACUGGGUUUAAAGGGUGUGUAGGCGGGUAUUUAAGUCAGUGGUGAAAUCUCCGAGCUUAACUUGGAAACUGCCAUUGAUACUAUUUAUCUUGAAUUCUGUUGAGGUGGGCGGAAUAUGUCAUGUAGCGGUGAAAUGCAUAGAUAUGACAUAGAACACCGAUUGCGAAGGCAGCUCACUAAGCAGACAUUGACGCUGAGGCACGAAAGCGUGGGGAU
rnacentral:rRNA from 1 species